UGUUUAAUUUAUUUUUGUACAGGUGAACAUUAAGGAUGACAUUUAAAGAAAAAAAUCUAUUGACAUUCAUUGUAAUUCACAUCAGACAGCACAGUAGAGAACUUGUUGGUGAAAAUCAAGUCUCUCAUCCACAUUUCCAACAGGUCUCUGUUUAGGCAGAGGUAGCUGGGACGUUCUAGUUCUGUGAAACGAUACCAGAGUACAGCACUAUUGAGAACCACUGCCUCCACAUUACAGGACUCCGCAACUUACAGGAAUUCUUCAAAGAGGAAAUUCGAAAUUUGAUUGAAAAAGUGUCAUUCACCUUAUCACCGUCUACAAUAUUCAAUUACUUGUGGCCUAUUUUUUGAAGAAAUAAUGUCAAGAAAAAGUGCAAAAGAUGGAAAAAGUAAUUAUGAAUUCUAUUUUAUUCAUUUUGAAUCAAAUGUUUAAUUUGAAAUCAUUAUUAUUUUUUAGAUUACAAUGAUAUUUAGGUCAUUACGAUUCAUUUUAGAAACGGCAAUAUUAUACAAUUGCUCACUGAAUUAUUAUUGUUGAACUGUUAGUGAAGUUAAAUUAAUAAUUUUGUAACUUUGUUAAAAUUAAUUGAUUUCAGUGAAAUCAAGAUUAAACCAGAAAUAUAGCAAAUGCUUUGCUGCCUUAUAAUGUUAUAUCUUAUCAGGACCUCCUAUAUACCUGUAUAAGAGGUACUGAUAUUGUGUUUUUAAGAAAAAAUAUAGGGAAAAUGUGAUGAUAUUAGAGUAUUACUAAUAGCAUAAACUUGUACCAAAUGUGAUAGCACUGUUGAUUUAUUUAGUAAUAUUUAUGUUGUAACGUUCAUUACUGUGUUGUUAGUAUUCAUGUUUAGUUCAUUUGUAGUAACAUAUGUUGUGAAGGGAUCAAGUAUCCAGUUUUUUGUGCUUCCAAUUGUUUAGUGAUUAUGAAAAUAAUAGUUAUUUGUAUAUCUAGAGUGAAAAGUACUGUUUUUUCCCCCUGAGGGAAAAGUUUGAAGCAACAAUUUUCCUGAGGGAGGAAAAACUUUUCUCACUCGUGAUAUACACAACAUUUUUCCUCCACCUACAUUUUUAUAAAACUGCAAAUAAACUAAUUUUUAAAAACGUACGUGACCAAACAAUGUGUUACAAAUUAUCUAAAAAGUAAACAGCUGGGCUGGCUUGUAAUCACAGUUCUCCGCCGACAGCGCUAUGCGAUACCUGUCGGCAAAAGUUGUAACAGCAAUGGCCGCCACGACAACUAUGAUGAUGUUCCCGUUUCAAAUUUGAUUAGUUAAUGAGGAAUAUUUGUUGGCUGGUAUUUUGAAUAACUUGGAAUAUAAAAAAUAUAUACAUUUUUUAGUAUAGUGAUAUGAAGUUUGUAAUAAUUUUAGCAUACAAACAUAAAUUUCAUAUAUUUCAUGAAAAUGAAUAAUAAUAAAUAUUGAUCAAAUGUCUGGUUGAGGUAUUGAAUUUAGUUGAUUUAAUGACUACUCUAUUUAUGCUUCCUCAUCUGAGCUUAGACCUUCUAACCUAUUUCAAAUGUACGUUUUUGAAAUAGAGAUGCUUCCCAUGUUAUUUAAAUGGAGUCACUUUUACGCUCUAGGGAGUUUUCCUGUUUUUUCCUCCCGAGAGCGAAAAAGUGACACUUUAGUAUUAUGUUCCAGGGAGUAAAGUAAGCACUUUAGACAGGAGGUGGAGGAAAAAGUUUUUUUUAUAAAACUAAACAAAAAGCUAAGAAUCAAUGUUUUAUAUUUGUAUCAAAUCGCAAAUAAUAUAAAAUAAUAAUCAUGGUAAAUGUAACAUCUCCGACUCAUCCCGGUUCACUAGUUUAUGCGGGCAUAAACUCAGAAAAUGCUUAAAUUGGUGUCGAUCUUAUCUGUUAUUGCUUUUUUACGUUUUAACUUUUUUUUAGUUUGAAAGUUUUAUAGUUACAUCAAAGUUGAUCUAAGAUAGUUGUAUCUAAAUGACAGCAAUGUUACUUUCAAUGUACGGUUUAAAUUUCAGAAAAUGGCUGAAAACCAAAUAAUCAUUAUUCUAAAUAAUAAGAAAAAGAUUGAAUUAUCAAAUUAGAAUUAAUUGAUUGAAAGAAAUAAGAAUAAGCCCAUGUACAUCCUUGGUAAAUUCAGAAUCUUUAUGCAAAAUUUCAAGUUAAUCAGUUCAGUAGCUCAGACGUGAUGAUGCGUCCGUCAUUCGUGUAUUCCUAUCACAUACAUGUGUAAGACGAUUCUUUCCUUUAUAGAUUAUCUAUCAAUUUGAGGGCUGCUUGACAGUUUUAGAUAUUAUUUUUUGACACUUGAUAUUAACAUUGUUGGCUGAAACCGAUCAUGUCUUCAAAUAUAAAAUAUACUAUAUUGAGGUCCACGUUAUGAAGUCAGCACCUGAUUAACGUUGGUGCUGCUAUCCUUGUCUGUCAUUACACGAAGCAGAUAGCUCUAACCUUUUCUAGAUCCGCAAAUUUGCCAGAUUGUUUUUAAACAGAGUAGAAAUAUGAUUAAUUACUAAAAUAUUUCAUCUCAAUACAUUAUGACAAUUUAUUAUUAUACAGGGCCCGGCAUAAAAACCUGACGAUUUUUGAGGGAUCAUAACUAAAGUGUCUUUCGUACAAUUAAAUCAUAUAAUAUAUCAAAUUAAAGAUCAAGUUUUGCAAUUUAUAGUGAAUUACAUAGAUUACUCACACAGUUUUUUAUUUGUAGAUUAUAUCAUCCAAAUGAUUUCCGUUACUUUUCACACACUCACUUAACCUAAUUCUAAAAUUUGCCAUUGUUCGCUCAAUCAUCACUUGUGGAAUUGCUUCAAUUUCUCGUUGAAUGACUUCCUUUAGUUAUGUGGAUUACUGGCUGGUCAAUAACGGUAAUUUUGUUUAUUCACAAAUUCCGAAAAAAAAUCUGGUGUGCACUCACACAACUUUCUUUGCCGUUAUGAAAAUUGAUCACCUGACGCUAGUGUUCUCGCGCAUCUCAAGUCUACUAUAUGAGACAGCUGGUGAUAGGACAAUAACGCUGGAGACACACGAGGUCUGCUAUCUCUUCGUAGUGAAUGAUUUAACAGAACCAACACUUGUCAACAGUUUGCAAUUUAAUAAUCACAUUUUCUCGAGUUUCAAGCUUAUUUUCAAUUUAAGGUGAAAAUGUUACUGGACAUUAAUUGCAGAGAUUUUCAUGGUCUAUCUUUUCCACUUAAAAUUUGUUGUUUAAAUUGUAUAUGAAGGCUGAUAAUUGAUAAUCUAAAAUAAAACUUUGCAUAGAUGGGGCAGAGCUCCUAAAAGUUUUACAGAUAUAGGACUUGUUGCAGUUGAUAGAGCUUAUCGAUGACUAUUUCAACGAUCGAAAUCGUUGGAGCCGUUUUUGAAAAAAUCGCAAAAAUCCCUGUUUUUGACAACAUUUUCGCCAUUUUAGCCGCCAUCUUGGACUGCAUUCAAUCGAAAUUGUUCGUGUCGGAUCCUUAUAGUGUAAGGACCUUACGUUCCAAAUUUCAAGUCAUUCCGUUAACUGGGAGAUUGGUAUCGUGUACACAGACGUACAUACACUCAUACACACACACACACACACACACACACACACACACAUACAGACCUAUACUCAAAAACCACUUUUUCGGACUCAGGGGACCUUGAAACGAAUAGAAAUUUAAAAACUGGGGUACCUUAAUUUUUUCGGAAAGCAAUACUUUCCUUACCUAUGGUAAUAGGGCAAGGAAAGUAAUAAAAAUGUUCCUCGUCACUUGAAAGAAUAACGGUAUCCUGGUGGAUUUUUUUGUGAGAAUGAUCUCGCAAGCGGCUUUGCAAUGUGCCGAAUAAUUUGCAUUAAGUUGUUAAACUAACAUUAUCUUAUACAGAUGAAAUUUUGGGUCGGAAUGAAGAAUUCGUCGUUCACUUCGAUCAGAAAUGGGUAGAGCAACCGCAUGUUUCGCUGCUGAACGUCGUGGAGACCGUGUAACAGCUACUCAGGCGUUUUUGAGGCGUUCUCACGGUUCGUUUUCGUCCUGUAGGUUUCGUUUUUAAAGCGGACAACGUGUUCCUGGAAUUCUUCACCCACAAUAGGAUCGUAUUCCUACUGGGAACAGGCGCGUGUCGAUUUAAAUUAUUGAAAUGUCUGUGACAUAAACGCUUUUUUAAAAUAACUGAGUCAUUAUUUUUAAAAUAAGCUUCAAUCACAAUCGCUUGAUGUUCACUUGACCACGACAUACUGGCUACUGAAAUGGCAAGAAUAGACCUGUCGAUGUACAACAUUCCCGCCUUUUCAAUGAUAGUGGUUCAAACAUAACAAUUACUACAAAAUCGUCAGAUUAAUAUGCCGGUCCCUGUAUAAUAUUUUAAAUUAUACUUUCUUGAAGAAUAAAAUAUACUUGAUUAUUAUUGACAAUGAACAAUUAAUAUCACAUCAGAUAAACUGCAAUCAGCUAUUUAUUUACUAUAGGAGGCAGUUGUAACUUAGAGAAUUGGCAACGCUGUUGUCCUUUAUAUAGUGGACCUCACUAUAGUGAUUGUAAACUGUGAAUGAGGUGUCACUGAAGCAGAAUCAGUAUUGUUUUAUAGAGUUUAGGUUUCAAUUUUUCGUAAAACUUCAUUCUCAAGUUAUCAGUGAAAUAAUAACACAAUAUUUGGUAGUUAAUUUUAAUUCGUAAUAAUUUUUUAACCUCACUUUACAGUAUUUUGUUGAUAUUAAUCUAUAUUUUAGCAUACCAUUUAGUUUAGAGCUAAUCUACUUCCUACAACUGUUUAAUGUAAGUGCCUUAUGGGGAAAAAAUUAAGACUUGAGAUUCUAUUAUGUAAACAUAAUGAUAAUUCUUAAGAUUAAGCAGAGCACUGUAAUUAGAUUAGAUGACGAUUUAUAGAUUAGGUUGAUUUUGACUGUUAGGCCUGGUUGCUCAAAAGUCGGUUAAAUUUUAACCGUGACUAAUUUCACGAGAUCCAAUCAGAGAAGGCCUUUUUGAAAAGACGGCUUUUCUGAUUGAACGGAAGUUUCUUAGGAGACAUUUUUUCCGAGUAAUACUUUUUUAGAUAGAGCGCCUAAAGUUUAAAUUUUUGGGAAGAUAGUUUCUAAUUCGAUAAUAACUUUCAGUUGUUAUUUUUGAUAAGACGGCUUUCCUGAUUGAUUCUCGUGGAAUUAAUCACGAUUAAAAUUUAACCGGCUUUUGUGCAACCGGCACUGAGUAUUCUAAAAUUGUAGUAUUUUAAUAGGCAACUUUUUUGUAUUAAAUAUAUUCCUACAGAUUUAAAAAGAAUUUUAUUUACACUCUAAAGAUCUUCACAUGCAAUGUUAUUUUUUAAUAUCGCAAGUUUUAUUGAUAUUAUAAAUAAUAUUUUUUAAUGUAUUAAUGAUGAGCUGUAUAUUGGUACCGUUAUUAUCUAUUUAUAUGAAAUUAUGACAAACAUGUUGAUUCCUUGAAAAAUCUAGGAUAAGAAUAAUAAUAAUAAUGAUUAUUUUUUAUAGAUUUAAUCCAAUGUUAUGACUGAAUACUUUCAUGUAUUGAUUGUAAAGCUGUAUUGUUGUCAUUAUAUAUUACUGUAUAUAUUAUAUAGUAUUUUUAGAAUUAUUGUUAUUAUUAUUGUAGUUAUUCAUUGAUUUACGAUUUACUAUAGUAUGUUAUUAUUCAUGUUUUUGACACAAUUUUAAACAUUGCAAUUGACAGUUGAAACUGUAUUUUUGUUUUAAUAGUAUUGAAUACAAGCUAUGCUUUUUUCUAAUUAUUGGUUUUAUAUUCAAUUGAAUUUUAACCUUAUAGUCCAGUCAACAAAAGGUUAUGCAGGAAAUAUUUGUAAAAAAAUUUUACCCCGCUGCUUUUAGAAUAGUUAGGAGGUGGGAAUAUCCCCAGUAGAUAACUAUAACAUAUUGUCAGUAGCUCCAUAGAGAAACGACGAUGUUCCUUGGUAUAGGGCGUUUCUGUUCCAAAUUUCAUUGUUGAAGCCGAUAGUCCUAAUAGGAAUUUUUCUUGAAGCUAUGUGACGCUGGUAGUCUUUCAUACUGUGACGUUCUUACAAUCUAACC